rnacentral:rRNA from 1 species
GCAAGGUCGGUAUACAGGUGGUGCAUGGUUGUCGUCAGCUCGUGUCGUGAGAUGUUGGGUUAAGUCCCGCAACGAGCGCAACCCUCGUUCUAUGUUGCCAGCACGUGAUGGUGGGGACUCAUAGGAGACUGCCGGGGUCAACUCGGAGGAAGGUGGGGAUGACGUCAAAUCAUCAUGCCCCUUACGUCUUGGGCUUCACGCAUGCUACAAUGGCCGGUACAGAGGGCUGCGAAACCGUGAGGUGGAGCGAAUCCCUUAAAGCUGGUCUCAGUUCGGAUUGGGGUCUGCAACUCGACCCCAUGAAGUCGGAGUCGCUAGUAAUCGCAGAUCAGCAACGCUGCGGUGAAUACGUUCCCGGGCCUU